ensembl:lncRNA
CAGGCGAGCCCUGGCAGAAAGGGGAGUCAAUGAGAGGGAGGAGGCGCCUCUCUGGGAAUAAAUGCAACAUUUCCAAGAAGGAAAGCAGGAGCGCCAAGGUUGGGGUGGCUGUAGGGAGUUCAGGAAGUCUCCUUUCCCGGGCUUUUCUCUCCACCCAUCUGCUUCACUCCUUCACCUGUCCAGGUACAGAUUUGGGACCACUCGCUUAACCUCUCUGUGCUUCAGUUUUCUCAUCUGAAGCAGGGACGAGGAAAGGGUUGUUGUGAGGGGAAAAUGACUCACUCUAUGUAAAGCAUCCAGCACAGCACAGAGGAGUGCUUAGCAUGUGUUAGCUGCUGCUGCUUCUCUGCGUGGCCUUUCUGUCUCUUCCGUCUACAAGGUGAAAAUACACCUGCUGACCCCAUCAGGGGUUUUCCCAACACUUCCUUCAGAAAAACAAUCCAGGCUGUGGCUGAAUACCCUCUUGGUAACCUCGAGUUGCUGAAGCGUCCUUGGCCAGCCUGGGCAGGGAGGCCUUUGGCCAUAUGGCAGCCUGUUUCCUGUCCAAGGCUCUCUUUUCCAAACUCCUUCUUCAGCUGGAGAGGCCUCCAAUACUACCAAGGACACCCAGGCUUCAGAAUGACUUAUCUCCCCAUGCUGGGCCAACCCUGGCACCCUUCAAGAGAAAGAGAAGAGAAAGCAGAAAUCCCCUCAACUGUCAAAGAUAUUCUGCAUAGCAGCCUGAAGUGCCCAGGCACCCUCAAAAAGGUGUUUUGCAAAAUUUUCUGAUUACAAAUGUUAAUUGGUCUCUGUUCCUCACAAUACACAGAAAAGAAAAGUAGUCUAAGAAAUUACACUGCCUCCGUCUCACUGGAGUGUGCUUUCCUUAGCCAUUACGUUCAGUUUGGUUUCUUCGGGUUUGUUUAAUGUUUCCUCUCUGUGACCCACACGUGGCUGAGUUAUCCAUCUGCAACAUUAGAGAACUGAGCUAAGGCUGGAUUACUAUUAGAAAGAAAUAGUUUUCCACCGGAGCUGUGAAGGUCUCCAGGACCAGUUGGGCUCCCUUUGUGGGUCUCUGGAAGUUGUCCUGGCCUAUGAAUUCCUUAUCAGCCCCUGUAUCUCUCUAUAGCUGACGGCUAUGGCUACGUGGGUCUUAAUCCAGAGAGCCUGGGAUCUCUGAGACCUUAUCAGGAUGCAGAAAUGGAUGAGCGCCCUGAGCAGUCACCUCGUUUCAGUAGAGGUUACCCGAGGCAGCUUUGUCUGACCCGAAAUUAAUUCCCCUUCUGAAUGAAUUUCCCAGGAGACUUCCUUUUCCAAGUUUCCUUCUGGUGUUAUGGUUUUCUUUAGAUUUCCUUCCCUUCCUUGUUCUCGCCAUCUGUCUUGGGUCUGGAGCCAGGGAAAUUGUUUCUUCUCAGGCUGAACCCUCACAAUUUAUGGUCACUGGUACUGAAACUUCCCUGUGGCUCCUGAGUGCCCCCCACUCAUUUCCUUCCUAAUAGGAAGCAGCAGGUUUAGAUCAGUUACACUGUCUUCUUUCCAAGCCAUACUAUUUUCUUCCAUGUGAUUUAAGAACCUCGAGGAUGCUGCAUGGGUCUCCCAGUGGAAAACAGUGGUUAAACCCCAGCAGGUGUCCUGCUCAUAGAGUCUGGGUUUGUGGUGACAUGUGACCUAAGCAGCCACGCCAUCACCAGCUAGCUUGCCUAAAUUUCCAAAACACUUAAAAAAAUCCAGCUUUCCCUGCACACCGAUGAGGUGUUCAUUAAUAUGAUUGAGUUUAAUGUAGUCAAUC